rnacentral:tRNA from 1 species
GGGCGCAUAGCUCAACUGGUUAGAGCGCACGGUUCACAUCCGUGAGGUUUGGGGUUCGAGUCCCUAUGCGCCCA